GGUCGUAACCCGUAAGAAGGGUUCGGAAUUGGAAUUUCCACGCCAGGUAAUUUGUGGAAUCCAAUUUAAGUGGGAUCUGAGCCGAUGCAUUGAUGGCAAUCGGCUGGAGAAGAUCGUUGGAUGUCGUAGCGGCCAUGAAGUGCGAGGGAGAGGAGGCGCUGAUCGACGUCGAGAGAGAGAGGACUGCCGGUUAGUGCAACGAUGGCGCGGCAAGACGCCGGAGAGAGGCUGUGGACUAAGAAGGUCGGCGGUGGCGGGCUGCCGAUUAGUGCAGCGGCGGCGGCGGCGCGGGUAGGAAAGAAUUAGGGUUUCUUUGGCGAUAAGCCACUGGCGUAUGAUAC
rnacentral:lncRNA from 1 species